rnacentral:rRNA from 1 species
CCUACGGGAGGCUGCAGUGGGGAAUAUUGGACAAUGGGGGCAACCCUGAUCCAGCCAUGCCGCGUGUGUGAAGAAGGCCCUCGGGUUGUAAAGCACUUUCAGUGAGGAAGAACGCCUGGUGGUUAAUACCCAUCAGGAAAGACAUCACUCACAGAAGAAGCACCGGCUAACUCCGUGUCAGCAGCCGCGGUAAUACGGAGGGUGCGAGCGUUAAUCGGAAUUACUGGGCGUAAAGCGCGCGUAGGUGGCUUGAUAAGCCGGUUGUGAAAGCCCCGGGCUCAACCUGGGAACGGCAUCCGGAACUGUCAAGCUAGAGUGCAGGAGAGGAAGGUAGAAUUCCCGGUGUAGCGGUGAAAUGCGUAGAGAUCGGGAGGAAUACCAGUGGCGAAGGCGGCCUUCUGGACUGACACUGACACUGAGGUGCGAAAGCGUGGGUAGCAAACAGGAUUAGAUACCCGAGUAGUC